GCGCGCGCACGUGCCUGCUCGCUUGUCCCUCCGUCGGCCGUGACGGGUGUGUGUGAGUGACUACAGACAAAUGCAUGAGAGAGUUAGCAGCCUUGAAACAGCUUGAUGAACUACUCUCCCCACAUGUUUUAAAAAUGCUAAUAUGCUAUGCUAAAUCUGCUAUGCUAAAUAAUGAUUUCUCUAUAGAACUACAAAGUCCGACUGGGGGAGGAGAGUACAGGUCUGCACUAUGGAGGGGGGCGGAGUUUACAGCUCCUCCUCCAGUUUAAAGAGACAGUACCCAAAAACGGCUCGUUCUCAAGACUCUCCUCAGAACAGGGGUAGAUGAGGGUCUGUAGAGCAACAAUAAUGAGGAAAUCAGACCAAAGAACUGCAGUUCCACUGUAUUUAGACCCCAACUGAAGGAUUUAGAUGUAAAAAGGAAUAACUUAAAAGCAUGUUAUGUCUCCUUUAAUGUUUAGAGCAGCAGGAACUCCGAGAGGCUGCAGGCGCAUCAGUGAGUUUGCUCCGCUGCACAGGGGGAGGGGGGAGAUGGCUGAAGCAGAAACUACCGUUGUUAAAAGAAAUGUGUUUAACUUUGAAAAUGUGGGCGCAAUUUUAAUUGUCAAAAACUCCAGCGAACCAUUAGUUCAUUUUGCUCAAAUAGAAAUAGAGGCCUGCCUCUAAUACUGGCCCUCCUUCCAAUAAAGGCCUGUAGCUUGGUGAGCUUGAGUCAAAUACAGGCCCGGGCCUGUAUUAGAGGAUUUACAAUAUGUUAGUUUAAAUGAGUCGACUCCUAAUUAUUUAAAUCAUCAUAUUGCUCGAAGUACAGGGCGAGGAGGAGUGGCAACCAUUUUUCAUUCAGACCUAUUUAUCAAUCCCCUACCAAUUAAUAGUUACUUAUUCUUAGUUUUCCCAAUCCAGAUUACAAAACUGUAAAACCAGUCUUGUUUGUAGUUUUGUAUCGUCCACCAGGCCCUUACGCUGAGUUUUUGGAUCAGAUCUCUGAUUUUUUAUCUCAUUUGGUGCUAAAUACUGAUAAGGUCAUUAUAGUGGGGGAUUUUAACAUUCAUGUGGACAUUGAAAAUGAUAACCUCAAUUUAGCCUUUAGUAAUAUCUUAGACUCAAUUGGUUUUACCCAAACAAUACAUAGCUCCACCCACUCCUGCCAUCAUACAUUAGACCUUGUGCUGACUUAUGGAAUAGAGUGUGAGGAAGUAACGAUAUUUCCACAUAAUCCAGUGCUCUCGGACCACUUUCUGAUAACCUUUGAGUUUUUUAUAACUGAGUUCUCGAGACAUUAAAGUAAAUUUCACUAUAGUUGGUCUCUACCUAACAAUGCUGCUGCAUCUUUUAAAUCAACUGUUCCAUCUUUACUAUCUUCAACAUCUCAGAGGAACACAGCAGAGGGCAGUAUUUUCAUUUCUAGCCCUUCACAAAUUGAUGCUUUAGAUUAUGUAGGGUUAACUACAUACUAGAAUCAACACUGUUGCUAUUCAGUUGUAGAUUCUGAGAAUGACCAAGCAGAAUAACCUAUGAGGCUUAUAUCGUGUAUAUAUUUCCGGAUACUUAUAUAAUCGAUCUAAGUUCAUACCCCAACCUGUUUGGUCAAUUUAUAAUCCAAAGAUUAAUGUUUAAUUUAAGGUAAUUAAAUUUAAUAGCAAAAGUUUAUUUUUGAAUCAGAAGCUAGGAAUCUUUGCUUUUCAAUAACCAGAAACAUUUAUACCUUUCUAUGUUUCAUUUCAAAGAAUGAGGCAAGUUUAAAAAUGAAGAAUUUUAUUACUAACAAUUUUUAAACUUUACGAUUUGAACGACAAUUAUAAAUGACAAUUCAUGGAUGACAAUUUAAUGACAAUUUUUAACAGCUUUGAUAUUAAACUUGUAUUAAAAGCAAACCUGUGGCUAGAUGAAAGCUAAAUGAAAAUAUGAGUUUGGAUGCGUGAAUAGAUUUCUCAGAAGGUUUCUUUCAGAGAGAGGAAAGCGUUCUGGGUUGGAAAUGAUGUUUUGCAGCUAACUGAGUUGUUUACUUAGAGAACAGCAUCAAACAUCAUCUGUCGAAAGUGUCUACCUCACCCAGUUUCCGGAGACCCCCUUUUGGAUCCGAGAUGUCAAGUGGAGAUGAUUUCCUCCGGGCACGAGGAUGGUAGAAGGACCUCGAUGCGACCAAAUCAGUCCUGGGUUGUCUCCGUGGGUCACACGACUGAUGAAACUAUUUGUGUCUCAAAGUCCAUAACUCUGAAGGAGUUUUUGCAUCUUAACUUAACUCAGAAAUUAAUAACUCUGGAAGGAGUUUUUCGUCAGCUGGUAACAGUUUACGUUUAUUCUUAGCUAUUCUUAUCGGCAUGACAAAACAGCUUGGCAGAGGAUCAGGGCGGCCGUACCGUCUCCUCCGGAUGGUGUUGGUUCAAGAACUGACGUGAAAGCUGUUGCAAGUUAGUUUACAAAGUCCUCAGAACACACCCACUCUCAGCAAGAAAGCUUUGGUCAUGCGUCAAAAACAUGUGUUGGCAGUUACCCUUUGUGUGGAUAAACUCUGUAUUAGAUGGAUAAGGUGGAAGCUGACCUUCAGAUUUCCUGAACACACAUUACUGUCAUCAACCAUAAUCAUAUUUAUAGUAAUCAUUAUUAUACCCAAAGCAUAAUAAUUCAUUUCAGUAAUUAAAAUACAUUUAUAUUGAACCAAGUGAUUAUUUAUGAUGAUUAAUAAACAAUAAAGUCAAAGAGCUUAUUAAUAUUAUUAUUUAAUUAUUAUCGUGAACUUGAAGUGUCCUUCUUCUGGGACGGAACAGCAGCAAAUAAUGAGUGCUACUCAGCAGACAUCAGGGCUCCUUGGUUAAUCUGUGGACUUAAAAGUUGCAGCCUGACCCAGCUUGACCCAGCUGGGUAAAUGUGACAUUUGCCACAAAUCAGAGAACCUUGAUGAUGCUACAAGACCCCCCUUUGUCAAUGGUAGGUGGUCGCAGAAAACCACCUGUCGUUGGCAACCAAAGAUGUGAAGGGACUCUCUUUCUGAAGAAGCUGUUGCAGUCCAGGUGAAGGCUGGAGAGAGGUAAGCAUUUCCUCACCCAGUGAAGACAGGAGCAUAUCCUGAGAAGUUAGUUAAGUCAACAAUUGCAGAUCAUUGUAAAGUAAUCCUUGAUAAGUUGGCUAUUUCAAUAGCAGUUGAUUAUCAUA
ensembl:lncRNA